rnacentral:rRNA from 1 species
UGCAGUCGAACGGCAGCACGGAGCUUGCUCUGGUGGCGAGUGGCGAACGGGUGUGUAAUAUAUCGGAACGUACCCUAGAGUGGGGGAUAACGUAGCGAAAGUUACGCUAAUACCGCAUACGAUCUAAGGAUGAAAGUGGGGGAUCGCAAGACCUCAUGCUCGUGGAGCGGCCGAUAUCUGAUUAGCUAGUUGGUAGGGUAAAAGCCUACCAAGGCAUCGAUCAGUAGCUGGUCUGAGAGGACGACCAGCCACACUGGAACUGAGACACGGUCCAGACUCCUACGGGAGGCAGCAGUGGGGAAUUUUGGACAAUGGGCGAAAGCCUGAUCCAGCAAUGCCGCGUGAGUGAAGAAGGCCUUCGGGUUGUAAAGCUCUUUUGUCAGGGAAGAAACGGUGAGAGCUAAUAUCUCUUGCUAAUGACGGUACCUGAAGAAUAAGCACCGGCUAACUACGUGCCAGCAGCCGCGGUAAUACGUAGGGUGCAAGCGUUAAUCGGAAUUACUGGGCAUAAAGCGUGCGCAGGCGGUUUUGUAAGUCUGAUGUGAAAUCCCCGGGCUCAACCUGNGAAUUGCAUUGGAGACUGCAAGGCUAGAAUCUGGCAGAGGGGGGUAGAAUUCCACGUGUAGCAGUGA